UGAAAAAGGGCUACACGAUACAAAUUGUGUA
rnacentral:piRNA from 1 species